rnacentral:rRNA from 1 species
AGUGAACGCUGGCGGCAGGCCUAAUACAUGCAAGUCGAACGGCAGCACAGCAGAGCUUGCUCUGUGGGUGGCGAGUGGCGGACGGGUGAGGAAUACGUGGGAAUCUGCCCAGUCGUGGGGGAUAACGUAGGGAAACUUACGCUAAUACCGCAUGCGCCCUUCGGGGGAAAGCCGGGGACCUUCGGGCCUGGCGCGAUUGGAUGAGCCCACGUCGGAUUAGCUAGUUGGCGGGGUAAAGGCCCACCAAGGCGACGAUCCGUAGCUGGUCUGAGAGGAUGAUCAGCCACACUGGAACUGAGACACGGUCCAGACUCCUACGGGAGGCAGCAGUAGGGAAUAUUGGACAAUGGGCGCAAGCCUGAUCCAGCCAUGCCGCGUGAGUGAAGAAGGCCCUCGGGUU